ACGGGUGCGUAACGCGUAUGCAACCUGCCCCCAUCAGGGAAUAGCCCGCCGAAAGGCGGAUUAAUGCCCAUAGGCCCAGGGCGCCGCAUGGCGCUAUGGGUAAGCUCCGGCGGAUGGGGAUGGGCAUGCGUGCCAUUAGCUAGUUGGGGCGGUAACGGCGCACCAAGGCGACGAUGGCUAGGGGGUCUGAGAGGAUGGUCCCCACACUGGUACUGAGACACGGACCAGACUCCUACGGGAGGCAGCAGUGAGGAAUAUUGGUCAAUGGGCGGAAGCCUGAACCAGCCAUGCCGCGUGCAGGAUGACGGCCCUACGGGUUGUAAACUGCUUUUCCCCGGGAAGAAUAAGCCCCUCGUGAGGGGUGAUGCCGGUACCGGGGGAAUAAGGAUCGGCUAACUCCGUGCCAGCCGCAGC
rnacentral:rRNA from 1 species